AACGAACGCUGGCGGCAGGCCUAACACAUGCAAGUCGAGCGAGGACUUCGGUCCUAGCGGCGGACGGGUGAGUAACGCGUGGGAACGUGCCCUUUGCUUCGGAAUAGCCCUGGGAAACUGGGAGUAAUACCGGAUGAGCCCUUUGGGGGAAAGAUUUAUCGGCGAAGGAUCGGCCCGCGUUGGAUUAGGUAGUUGGUGGGGUAAUGGCCUACCAAGCCGACGAUCCAUAGCUGGUUUGAGAGGAUGAUCAGCCACACUGGGACUGAGACACGGCCCAGACUCCUACGGGAGGCAGCAGGAGGGAAUCUUAGACAAGGGGGGAAACCCUGAUCUAGCCAUGCCGCGUGAGCGAUGAAGGCCUUAGGGUUGUAAAGCUCUUUCAGCUGGGAAGAUAAUGACGGUACCAGCAGAAGAAGCCCGGGCUAACUCCGUG
rnacentral:rRNA from 1 species